rnacentral:rRNA from 1 species
GGUCGGGGGUGCUAGCUGGUGAGAGGGGUUAGAGGUGCUGGACGGAGGUGACGGCGUAGACGCGGUUCGGGGCGGCGGGUGGUGGUGGAUGGGCCGUUGGCCGCUGGUCCCCCUGCCUGGGUUGGUGGCGUGGGGUGGUGGUGGUAGAGGGAGCGCGGUGGUCGGAGGGGACGGGGCGGAAGGAUAGAGCUAGCGGCGGCGGCGCCGUGUCCGGGGGGGCUGGUCGGUUGAUGGAGGCCGCCGGUUCCGGCGGGUCGGUUGAUGGAGGCCGCCGGUUCCGGCGGGUCGUUGUUGGUCUAGGCCACCCUAGGCUGAGGUGGAGGGGAUCAGAGGGGGAGGGGUUGGCGGGUCAGUGGCCGGUUCCGCGUGGCUCCGUGGCGGGAGGGAGGGCCGAUCGACGCGACGGCUCGGCGAAGAGCGCUGCGGAGGGGAGGGGCGCGCGCUCCAGGACGCGAGACUUGCCUCCGCACCUGUGGGCGCCGCCGCGGCACAUAGAGGGUGCUGUUCCGGGGGAGGGGUGGGGGUUCCGUCGUUAGCCGAGGUGCGGUGACUGGGAGGGGAGAAGAGGAGACGGAGCCAGUGUAACUCCCGACUGCCCACGUAGAUCGAGGCGACGAACGGCCGCAGAUGUUGGGCACGUCACUGUUCAACUUUUUGCCUUCCUCCUCGUGGAGGAGUUCGGAGGCAAUUCUCGCGUCCUGGACGCCCUGUCGGGAGGGAAAGGUUCGUGCGCCGACUCGGUCCAACCAACAAAUCUCCAAAAUGUUCAACAAACUUCAAGUCAAGCCGGCGCUGUCUCGAGGGGCAGCACAUCAGGUGAAGUGUGGGUGGCCGCACAAGAGGGAAGGAGGAGACGCACUGGGUAGUACGACAGGUGUAACGGUGCGAGGACCCCAAAGUCCCGACGUGGCUGCUGUAUUGCCGCUCGCCCUCUCUUCCUCGUACACGCGCACGUCACGCCAAGCGGAGCAGGCAGGUCAAGGGGUUAUGUUCCGACGUCAAAAGGAAAAGGGGCUACUACUUCUGUCAGUCUAAACAACGUAGAACACGUAUAACGUCCUAAAACUUUUUUCGUUACACUUCCAAAGUAGUUCUAGAGCGCGUUAGGUAGAGUGUCGGAUCGAGACGUAGCUGCGGAUCCGUUAAAGACAAAGACACUGAACGCUACAACCACCAUUAAACUACUUCGUAGUUCGGCCAUUAAACUACUUCGUAGUUCGGUGCGUCCGCAGCUACAACCACCUGAACGCUACGUCUCGUCAAAGACACUAGCAACAGCACAUUGGGUAACGACGAUCGGACACCAAGCAACAUACACCCACACGCGAAGUCGGAGGCACCCACACGCCCACCCUCUGGUUAAUGACGACGAGUCAAACAACACAUCUCUUCUUUUGACUUCACGUGAUGUUAUGUCAAAGAAAAACAUUUUACGUCUGUAAUGGAAAACGAAAACAAAAACCUGAGUGCAUGAGUAUGUCUACCAAGCGAUCGAACAAGGACGGUAUCACCAAGUGAACAAGCUUCAAGAAACAGUAUGCAUCAUUUUCCUGUUCUUGUUUUUAUCACUUCUUAUUUGAUUAAACAUCAACUAGCUGUUGGUGUUUUUGCCACUUCUUAUUUG